rnacentral:rRNA from 1 species
UACGUAGGGUGCAAGCGUUUGUCCGGAAUUAUUGGGCGUAAAGAGCUCGUAGGCGGUUUGUCGCGUCGAAUGUGAAACCCGGGCUCAACCCCGGGCCUGCAUUCGAUACGGGCAGACUAGAGUUCGGUAGGGGAGUCUGGAAUUCCUGGUGUAGCGGUGAAAUGCGCAGAUAUCAGGAGGAACACCGGUGGCGAAGGCGGGACUCUGGGCCGAUACUGACGCUGAGGAGCGAAAGCGUGGGGAGCAAACAGG